rnacentral:snoRNA from 1 species
UGUGAGUGAUGAGACGUCUUUCCCUGACAUCUCAGUGAGGGUAAAAGCUGAUUUAAUGAGCCUGAUGC